rnacentral:rRNA from 1 species
GUCUUCGGAUGCUGACGAGUGGCGAACGGGUGAGUAAUACAUCGGAACGUGCCCAGUAAUGGGGGAUAGCUCGGCGAAAGCCGGAUUAAUACCGCAUACGCUCUGAGGGGGAAAGUGGGGGAUCGCAAGACCUCACGUUAUUGGAGCGGCCGAUGGCUGAUUAGCUAGUUGGUAGGGUAAAGGCCUACCAAGGCGACGAUCAGUAGCUGGUCUGAGAGGACGAUCAGCCACACUGGGACUGAGACACGGCCCAGACUCCUACGGGAGGCAGCAGUGGGGAAUUUUGGACAAUGGGGGAAACCCUGAUCCAGCAAUGCCGCGUGUGCGAAGAAGGCCUUCGGGUUGUAAAGCACUUUUGUCAGGGAAGAAAUCCUUUGGGCUAAUACCCUAGGGGGAUGACGGUACCUGAAGAAUAAGCACCGGCUAACUACGUGCCAGCAGCCGCGGUAAUACGUAGGGUGCAAGCGUUAAUCGGAAUUACUGGGCGUAAAGCGUGCGCAGGCGGUUGUGUAAGACAGGUGUGAAAUCCCCGGGCUUAACCUGGGAAUUGCAUUUGUGACUGCACGACUAGAGUGUGUCAGAGGGGGGUGGAAUUCCACGUGUAGCAGUGAAAUGCGUAGAUAUGUGGAGGAACACCAAUGGCGAAGG